rnacentral:rRNA from 1 species
AGAGUUUGAUCCUGGCUCAGGAUGAAUGCUGGCGGCAUGCCUAAUACAUGCAAGUCGAGCGGUAACAGGACUAGCUUGCUAGUGCUGACGAGCGGCGGACGGCUGAGUAACGCGUGGGAACGGACCCCCAAACUGAGGGAUAACGCACCGAAAGGUGUGCUAAUACCGCAUGUGAUCUUCGGAUUAAAGCUUUCGAGCGGUUUGGGACUGGCCUGCGUACGAUUAGAUAGUUGGUGAGGUAAUGGCUCACCAAGUCAACGAUCGUUAGAUGGUUUGAGAGGAUGAUCAUCCAGACUGGGACUGAGAUGCGGCCCAGACUCCUACGGGAGGCAGCAGUGGGGAAUAUUGGGCAAUGGGCGAAAGCCCUGACCCAGCAACGCCGCGUGAAGGAAGAAGGUCUUCGGAUUGUAAACUUCUUUUAUGAGGGACGAAGGACGUGACGGUACCUCAUGAAUAAGCCACGGCUAACUACGUGCCAGCAGCCGC